rnacentral:lncRNA from 1 species
AUAGUUUCAUUAGCACCUGAGGUAUUAUAAGAUGAGAUCAUACGUAAUAUAGUAUGUGGAUGAAAUAGAGUAAUUAGUGGAUUAGGUUGUAUCGGACGCAUAUCCCUUUAUUUAAUAACAAAAAUAUAAAAAUUAAAUAAAAAAAUAGCAUGUUGAUUAUAUCAAAAAUGGGAGGCAACCAAAAUUUUAGUUUAUCAUG